AUGAAGUUCCACAUUGGAGACUGAAGCCCUCUUACCACAGAGCAGGUACAGCACAGGCAGAAGCAAAGCAUUUUUCCCUGUACUGCCCACAAGUAGUCUUUACCCUGAAGUAAAGCAGCUACCUUUGACGGUAAGAAGGCACUUUAAUUUCUUUGUCCAUUCACUCCCUGGGUUAU
ensembl:misc_RNA